GACAGAGGGGGCAAGCGUUGCUCGGAAUUACUGGGCGUAAAGGGCGCGUAGGCGGGAUGGCAAGUCGGUCGUGAAAUCCCUCGGCUCAACUGAGGAUCGUCGAUCGAUACUGCCGUUCUUGAGGAUUGCAGAGGAGACUGGAAUUCCUGGUGUAGCGGUGGAAUGCGCAGAUAUCAGGAGGAACACCAAUAGCGAAGGCAGCUCGCUGGGACGUUACUGACACUAAGGCGCGAAAGCGUGGGGAGCGAACAGG
rnacentral:rRNA from 1 species